rnacentral:tRNA from 1 species
GGGGAUAUGGCGAAAUGGUAGACGCAGCGGACUCAAAAUCCGUUGGCCUCGGCCGUGAGGGUUCGAUUCCCUCUAUCCCCA